GAUGAACGCUGGCGGCGUGCUUAACACAUGCAAGUCGAACGAAGCACUUUAUUUUAUUUCCUUCGGGACUGAUUAUUUUGUGACUGAGUGGCGGACGGGUGAGUAACGCGUGGGUAACCUGCCUUGUACAGGGGGAUAACAGUUGGAAACGGCUGCUAAUACCGCAUAAGCGCACAGCAUCGCAUGAUGCAGUGUGAAAAACUCCGGUGGUAUAAGAUGGACCCGCGUUGGAUUAGCUAGUUGGUGAGGUAACGGCCCACCAAGGCGACGAUCCAUAGCCGACCUGAGAGGGUGACCGGCCACAUUGGGACUGAGACACGGCCCAAACUCCUACGGGAGGCAGCAGUGGGGAAUAUUGCACAAUGGGCGAAAGCCUGAUGCAGCGACGCCGCGUGAGCGAAGAAGUAGUUCGGUAUGUAAAGCACUAUCAGCAGGGAAGAUAAUGACGGUACCUGAAGAAGAAGCACCGGCUAAAUACGUG
rnacentral:rRNA from 1 species